AACGCUGGCGGCGCGUCUUAAGCAUGCAAGUCGGACGGCAAGGGUUGGUGCUUGCACAACUCCUAGAGUGGCGGACGUGGUGAGUAACGCGUGGGUGACCGUGCCCUCGAGAUGGGGAGUAGCCAUUAGAAAUAGUGGAUAAUACCGAAUACGCUCAUGACCCUGUGGGGAUAUGAGGAAAACAGGCUACGGCCUGGCUCGAGGAUGGGCCCGCGUCCCAUUAGCUAGUUGGUGAGGUAACGGCCCACCAAGGCGACGAUGGGUAUCCGGCCUGAGAGGGUGUACGGACACAUUGGGACUGAGAUACGGCCCAAACUCCUACGGGAGGCAGCAGCUAAGAAUAUUCCGCAAUGGACGAAAGUCUGACGGAGCGACGCCGCGUGGAUGAAGAAGGCCGGAAAAGGUUGUAAAAUCCUUUUGCUGAUGAAGAAUAAGUGUGGUAGGGAAUGACCGCAUGAUGACAUUAGUCGGUGAAUGAGCCCCGGCUAACUACGUGCCAGCAGCGGC
rnacentral:rRNA from 1 species